AAUACAUGCUAAAAAUCCCGACUUCGGAAGGGAUGUAUUUAUUAGAUUAAAAACCAAUGCCCUUCGGGGCUCUCUGGUGAUUCAUAAUAACUGCUCGAAUCGCAUGGCCUUGCGCCGGCGAUGGCUCAUUCAAAUUUCUGCCCUAUCAACUUUCGACGGCUGGGUCUUGGCCAGCCAUGGUGACAACGGGUAACGGAGGGUUAGGGCUCGACCCCGGAGAAGGAGCCUGAGAGACGGCUACUACAUCCAAGGAAGGCAGCAGGCGCGCAAAUUACCCAAUCCCAAUUCGGGGAGGUAGUGACAAUAAAUACUGAUACAGGGCUCUUUUGGGUCUUGUAAUCGGAAUGAGAACAAUUUAAAUCCCUUAACGAGGAACAAUUGGAGGGCAAGUCUGGUGCCAGCAGCCGCGGUAAUUCCAGCUCCAAUAGCGUAUAUUAAAGUUGUUGCAGUUAAAAAGCUCGUAGUUGAACCUUGGGCCUGGCUGGCCGGUCCGCCUCACCGCGUGCACUGGUCCGGCCGGGCCUUUCCCUCUGGGGAGCCGCAUGCCCUUCACUGGGCGUGUCGGGGAACCAGGACUUUUACUGUGAAAAAAUUAGAGUGUUCAAAGCAGGCCUAUGCUCGAAUACAUUAGCAUGGAAUAAUAGAAUAGGACGUGUGGUUCUAUUUUGUUGGUUUCUAGGACCGCCGUAAUGAUUAAUAGGGACAGUCGGGGGCGUCAGUAUUCAAUUGUCAGAGGUGAAAUUCUUGGAUUUAUUGAAGACUAACUGCUGCGAAAGCGUUCGCCAAGGAUGUUUUCAUUAAUCAGGAACGAAAGUUAGGGGAUCGAAGACGAUCAGAUACCGUCGUAGUCUUAACCAUAAACUAUGCCGACUCGGGA
rnacentral:rRNA from 1 species